UUUAUUCUUAAGUCUUAAGUCAUAAGUUUAUUCUUUAAGCCUCAUCAUCAUCAUUCGUUGAGCUUCAAACUGUUUUGGCAUCGAACCAGUUUCAUGUCAUAAUACCAUUUUAAUGACAUUAUAUACAAAAUUCAUUUCUUAUGCAAGAUGCCAUGAUUCCAUUUCCAAUACAAUACCUCUUUACAGAUAAAUUAAAGGGAGUUU
rnacentral:lncRNA from 1 species